ensembl:lncRNA
CCUACCACCAGAGAGAGAGAGGGUUAGCUAUACCAGGUGCAAUCACUUAGAUUGCACCUGGUAUAGUUAGUUGUCUAACAAUCAAGUCACCAACAUAAUAGGUAGCUGUAAUCGGUGGAAGUUGCAGGCACUCCAUGUUAUCUGAGUCAGCAGGGUUGUUUUUGCUAGCUGUUGGACACUCAGCGAUAGUACUUGCUGGUUUCGUCGGUGGAAGUUGAGAAGCGGGACUACCCGGGACAACGGUGUUAGUGUCAGCAGUUGAGGGGGGCAACAUCGCGGAUGGAGGGCCCGACAGGCCAUAGUCAAGUGGAGAGGGUGCCAUCAGGAGCAGCCAUGGCACCCAAUGGGGCCUCCGACGAUGGUGAGGAGACCCUGGGGCGCUUGUCUGAAAUGUAGCGGGGACUUAAGGAGUCGUCGCUUGGAGACCUGUUCUGUUUGGAGGUAGCUUUGCGGCUUCCAUUUCGUUUCACCGAGACCGAUGUUGGAUGUCCAGGGAAGGAAGUAGGCAAGGGGCACAGCACUGGGCUAAGGUCGUCAGGAUGCCAAGGGACCCACACAGACAACGCUGGAAGAUCAGCCAGAGGAGCAAAGGAAUUUGAAAGCUCCAACUCUGGAUCAUCGCCACCACGGCGCAGAGGGACAGGAGGAGAGGAGCGUCCACUCUUGCCACCAGCCACCACCAUGGACCAGCUGGAAGGACCUGGGAUGGGGUUCGGAACAACACCCGCUGUUGAGGCACCAGGACAAGGUAGCCAUGGUUCCUCUAUCGAGAACGCACAUCAGAAGCAACAAGGAAGACCAGCCUAGGAGAGCUGGUGUUGGACUACAGGUCUAUGGAGAGUUCCCGACUUCCGACUCGGAAAGGUGGCGCCGGAGGUAUUUGGAACACACCAUAACAUCCUUCACUUCGACCGGCAGUGAGUCUGCUUAUAGGUCGGAAUUUGGUCAGAAUGAAGCGGCCACUGUUUCUUGACAAGCUGGGUACUUUAUUCGUAGUUCCACUAACUUUACAGUACAGGUUUGCACAGACACAACCGGACUCGUUCGUUACUUCACUUAACCUUGUCACCAAUCCUGUUUGUGAUAUACAUGGACAGGAUAUCGAGGCGUAGUCGUGGUGGGGAGGGGUUGCAGUUCGGUGGUCUGAGGAUCUCGUCACUGCUUUUGGCAGAUGAUGUGGUCCUCAUUGGAUCAUCGGUCUGUGACCUUCAGCACUCACUAGAUCGGCUGGCGGCCGAGUGUGAAGUGGCUGGGAUGAGGAUCAGCACCGCUAAAUCUGAGGCCCAAGUGAAGGAGUUCAAGUACCUCGGGGUCUUGUUCGCGAGUGAGGGUACGAUGGAGCGUGAGAUUGGCCGGAGAAUCGGAGCAGCGAGGGCGGUAUUGCGUUCGCUUUACCGCACCGUUGUUACGAAAAGAGAGCUGAGCCGCUCGAUCUACCGGUCGAUCUUCGUUCCUAUCCUCACCUAUGGUCAUGAGGGUUGGGUGAUGACCGAUAGGACGAGAUCGCGGGUGCAAGCGGCCGAGAUGAGUUUUCUCAGAAGGGUGGCUGGCGUCUCCCUUAGGGAUAAGGUGAGAAGCUCAGCCAUCCGUGAGGAACUCGGAUUAGAGCCGCUGCUCCUUUACUUAGAAAGGAGUCAGCUGAGGUGGUUCGGGCAUCUGGUAAGGAUGCCCACUGGGCGCCUCCCUUGAGAGUGUUUCAGGCACGUCCAGUGGGGAGGAGACCUCGGGGAAGACCCAGGACUAGGUGGAGAGAUUAUGUCUCAACACUGGCCUGGGAACGCCUCGGGAUCCCCCCGUCAGAGCUGGUUAAUGUGGCCCGGGGCCCCCUGCUUGAGCUGCUCCCCCCGCGACCCAACCCCGGAUAAGCCGAUGAAGAUGAGAUGAGAUGAGAGAUGAGAUGUUAGAGAUGUAUACUGCACAGAUAUAUACCCUCUCUAGAAAAAACAUGAUGUCUUAGCCCAUUUAGAGUAUAUGUUCUCUGUCUAAGACUGUGACCUAUUUUCACUUUCCUUGCCUCAGGCCUCAUAUUCAGUUGCAUACAAUAUUGAGAUUGCAGAUACUAGGGAGCACACUCAGUUUUAGUGUGUGUUUGCAACACGAUCCUGCCUGUUAUGCCCUGGGAUUAUCCAUGAUGUACCUGUUAUAGAGGUUUGGAUAUUGGAUGUAUAUUGGUUAGCACAAUAUUAAAAGGGAAGGCGAGAGAGAGAGAGAGAGAGAGAGAGAGAGAGAGAGAGAGAGAGAGAGAGAGAGAGAGAGAGAGAGAGAGAGAGAGAGAGAGAGAUAGAAUUAUAUGAAUGCCAUGGCACUAUGGAUCUUGGAGUUUGUUUGACCAACUGCUUAUUUGAUAUUUUUCGUGAAUAAUUGAUGAGGUACGUGAAUAGCGUCUAGCUCCAGGUAUGGAGGUAAAGGUGAGGUUAAAUUAGAUGCAACAAAAUGCAAUGAUAGCAUAUCUAUUUCUUUUUUGUUUAUUCAUAGUUCAUUCUUUCUUUCGGUCUUUUUUCUUUCCUCCUCCCUUUCUCUUUUUCUCCCCUUCCCCAACACCGUCACCCCACCACCAUCUCUACGCUCUCCGGGUGAUCAUUAAUAAUACAACAAAGACCAGGCUUGGUGAAGACUGCUUGGCUUCUUGCUGUCUCCAUGGAGAUCGCAUCUUCUUCAUUGUUCUCCAAAAUCCUCUCCACAUAAGAAAAUCCACCUGGAGUUUGGUAGCCUGGGUAUACCCAUGCUGCCUUGCGCGCGAUUUCAUUUCGCGGAGCUAGGGCAGCCUGGAUUCCAUGGAUCCGAUUUUUCGCCUGAGAUAGGGAACCAAUCACAGAACGGGGAGGGAUGGCAAGACGAUGAUGACGUCAAUCCGACACACCCAUCGUCGUCUUCCUCAUCGAAUUUCUGUCGCUCUACAUACGUUAUCUGGUAUAAUUUGAUACAAUUGGCUAUGAGCCAUGUACAGACUCAUAUGAUAGACAUUCGGAGCGCCCAAUAAACGGCUCCGGGCAAUCGUAAACCACACCUCAAAUACGAGAAAAUUAAUGUGUGGUUCCCAGACCUCUUCUCAAUGUAGAUUGAGAUGAGGUCUGGCGUAGGCCAGGCUAGGAGUUUGGUUCAAAUCAAAAAAUAAACGUUGGGGUAGAUGGUUAAAAAUGAAGAUGGAUGGAUGAAUGGGUGAAUGUAUACAUGGAUUGACGGUUAGGUGGACAAAUGGUGUGCUUCGUGGAGCUACAGAAAUGUAUAUUUGUCUUCUCAAAUGAUUUUCAAGUGGAAGUUGUUGUACCUUUGGGAGAUGCAGACCACACAAGAGCAGAGGGCGAACCUAGCAACGCUCUCGGUGUGUAUUCAUUAAAAGGUAUACAGUUCCCCAAGCAUUUGAUUUCAUUAUUUACAUUGUGAGGCUUGUUGUGUAGCCAGUACAUUCACGUAGUAGCUCAUCCAUGUCAGGUUCAUUUUCAAUAUUAUUCCAGUCCAACUCUGAGCCCAACAGUGCUUGAUUACACUACGGAGAGUCGGUCUGUGCAAGAUUUAGUGCCCAGCAGCAGCCAGCCCAUUUAAUCUGAUGUGAAUGUUUAAUGUGUUUUUAUUGUUCUGUUAUUAUGUGCCUAAUAAACAAUAACAAGAACCAUGACGACAAUAUUCCCCCCCUUCGCUUCGUUCCUGGUAAUGAACGAUAAUAGGUUCAGGUCAGAACCGGUUUGUUUACCAACAGACAGGAAGUUAACUGCUUCAUGAAGUGGCCACAAUGGAGUCAUUUGGAAGCACCGCUCUUGUCGUUAGCCUUGUCUUGAACAAAGUGUUCAAGACAGUGUUCGAUUCGCAUGCAGAGUUUAUAGUUUAAGCACCGUAUGAGGCUGUAUGGCCAUUGGCCUGCAGCCAGACACUUCCUUGGCUGACGUAAUGCAGAUGAAUACAAAGAACAUUGGAAGAGAGUAGUCAAUGUCUGUUCAAUCUCUACUUAGUUUUAAUAGUCUAAAAGGACAAUUUAAUUGGAUGUGUG